rnacentral:lncRNA from 1 species
AUGUAUUCCCUUCUUCCCCCCAGAAAGAAAAAAAGGAUGAAAUGUUUGACGUUUACAUGGAGCAAGAUGUCAGGGCCCUUUCCCACCCACAUGGAAGAGGCUUUUUGCCACGUUUUCAGGUUGGUUAAAUGCAAAGGAAGCCGCUGCUGCUUGACUGCUCACCUAUCCAGGGAGAAGGUGGACAGUAAGCAGUGCAUCUCCCAUCAUGACUGGGCACAGCCAGAUACCUUAUCUGUGCUCUUAUGGACCUUGAAGGACAAUUCUACCUGCUGCUUGUUUGAGCUGGAAAUUGGACUUGGUGCAGAAAGGUUUGGAUGAGGGUUUCUGACCUGUGUGAUACAGGAGCUGAGGCUCUGAAAUCAUUUACUCUUUCAUGGAACCUCAUUUUGGGGCAGAGACAUUGCUUACAGUUGACUACAAGAGUGUGGAUGAGAAAACUCAAGUUUCCUUGCAAUUUGAUGAAUAGAGGUUAAAUGUAGUGAGAGUAUUAAUGCUCUCUGGAGUACCCAUCCUUUAAGCCAUGCUGUUUCCACCGUGAGGAACUUGUGGCAAUAUUUUGGAAGGGAUGGAAUUUGAGGGCUGGUGGGAAUGAAGUGCUUUAUCUCCUAAAACCAGUGUUGAACAAGAUGCUGUUUCACUCUUGCUAGCUGUGCUGAUCCACUCCAGGUGCAGGGGCCUUUACAUAGGUUCUCUACCAAUAGCUCUGUGCAAAGAGUUUAUUUGGUUUUUUUUAAGCUCUACAGCACAUGAGGGCUAAUUGUUUGGUAAAACAUGCCAUUUAGUUCCAUGGCUUAUAAAAAUCCCUCCUGAAAACUCUUUCCCCAGCAGGAGUCAAUUUAAGAACAGCUAAUGGGGCCAUCUCUGUCUUCCUAAGCGAGCAUGCCUUUGUGUAUAGUGUCUUUCCAAACCAAGCCUGUGUGUUUCUUUCCUUCGGGGUCAUUCCAUGACUUUCUAAAGCGCUAGAGGUAAGAACUGGAAUGGAAAUGGAAGAAAUUGUACAACUGAUGAUAACCUGUGUUAUUCUUUCAAUCCUAUCUCAGGAAAACACAAUGAAAUUUUUCUUUUGUUUGGCUUUUGAGAAAGACAGAUACCCCUAUCAAAUCAAAAAGAAGUUGGUUAGUAGUGAACUUCCCUCUUGUGGGUUUGGGUUACUCUUAUCAAGUCAUUUUUAUCAACUUCUUUGUUCAAGGAAUAGCUUGAAAAUGAAACAGCAUUUGUAUUUGUAUUUGACCUGGAGUUUUCUUGAUAGUCCUUAGCACUGUGGGGUAAAUACUUCGUGUAAAUGUUAUGGAUGCAUUGAUAAACUUAAGGCAUGUGA